AGGACUAACGCUGGCGGCGUGCCUAACACAUGCAAGUCGAACGAGGUAGCAAUACCUAGUGGCAGACGGGUGAGUAACGCGUGGUCAACCUACCUCUUAGUGGGGGAUAACUAGCCGAAAGGUUAGCUAAUACCGCAUACGAUCGUCGCGAGGCAUCUCGUGACGAUGAAAGGAGCAAUUCGCUAAGAGAGGGGACUGCGUCCCAUUAGUUAGUUGGUGGGGUAAUGGCCCACCAAGACUCCGAUGGGUAGCUGGCUUGAGAGAGCGACCAGCCACACUGGAACUGAGACACGGUCCAGACUCCUACGGAGGCAGCAGUGAGGAAUUUUCCGCAAUGGGCGCAAGCCUGACGGAGCGACGCCGCGUGUGGGAAGAAGGCCUUCGGGUCGUAACCGACUGUCGAAGGGGACGAUAUUGACGGUACCCUUGGAGGAGCCCGGCUACUACGCGCCAGCAGCCGC
rnacentral:rRNA from 1 species